rnacentral:tRNA from 2 species
GAUCCGCUCAGUUGAAUAGAGCAUCCCGCUCGUCGAGCGGGACGGUCAGAGGUUCGAAUCCUCUCGCGAUCA